rnacentral:rRNA from 1 species
GAGUUUGAUCGUGGCUCAGAUUGGACGCUGGCGGCAGGCCUAACACAUGCAAGUCGAGCGGAUGAAGGGGGCUUGCUCCUGGAUUCAGCGGUGGACGGGUGAGUAAUGCCUAGGAAUCUGCCUGGGUAGUGGGGGAUAACGUCCGGAAACGGGCGCUAAUACCGCAUACGUCCUGAGGGAGAAAGUGGGGGAUCUUCGGACCUCACGCUAUCAGAUGAGCCUAGGUCGGAUUAGCUAGUUGGUGGGGUAAAGGCCUACCAAGGCGACGAUCCGUAACUGGUCUGAGAGGAUGAUCAGUCACACUGGAACUGAGACACGGUCCAGACUCCUACGGGAGGCAGCAGUGGGGAAUAUUGGACAAUGGGCGAAAGGCCUGAUCCAGCCAUGCCGCGUGUGUGAAGAAGGUCUUCGGAUUGUAAAGCACUUUAAGUUGGGAGGAAGGGCAGUAAGUUAAUACCUUGCUGUUUUGACGUUACCAACAGAAUAAGCACCGGCUAACUUCGUGCCAGCCG